rnacentral:rRNA from 1 species
AACGAACGCUGGCGGCAUGCCUAACACAUGCAAGUCGAACGAGACCUUCGGGUCUAGUGGCGCACGGGUGCGUAACGCGUGGGAACCUGCCCUUAGGUUCGGAAUAACUCCCCGAAAGGGGUGCUAAUACCGGAUAAUGUCUUCGGACCAAAGAUUUAUCGCCUUUGGAUGGGCCCGCGUUGGAUUAGCUAGUUGGUAGGGUAAAAGCCUACCAAGGCGACGAUCCAUAGCUGGUCUGAGAGGAUGAUCAGCCACACUGGGACUGAGACACGGCCCAGACGCCUAGGGGAGGCAGCAGGAGGGAAUCGUACGCAAUGGGCGAAAGGUUGAGGGAGAAAAGCAGAGUGAGUGAUGAAGUUCUUAGGAUCGGAAAACUCUGUGAUUAGGGAAGAACAAAUGCGUAAGUAACUAUGCACGUCUUGACGGUACCUAAUCAGAAAGCCACGGCUAACUACGUG